UUAAGUUCAGCGGGUAUCCCUACCUGAUCCGAGGUCAAAAGUGAAAAAGAGGCUUCAUGGAUGCCACGAUUUAAGGACUAAGACGCAAAAUGUGCUGCGCUUACUACCAAAAACACUGGCUGCCAAUUACUUUAAGGCGAGUCCCUCAGGACAAACACCCAACACCAAGCAAAGCUUGAAGGUACAAAUGACGCUCGAAC
rnacentral:misc_RNA from 1 species